rnacentral:lncRNA from 1 species
CUGAACUACCGCUGCCCCUGCCAGGUCCCAGCAAACAAAGCCCACGCAGUCCCUGUGCCCGGGCACGAUGGUGUGUGGGGCCCUCGUCUCCUUCCUGCCCCUUCCCCCGUGCCCACAGCCAGCAGCAGAUGCUGGCCAGCCCUGCAUGGGCAGCAGCCAGCCCGUGGCAACAAUGAGAGCAAGUCAGGCAGCGAGUGCCAUCCUCUGCGAGCCUCUGCUCUGUGUGUGAGUGUGUGUGUGUGUGUGUGUGUGUGUGUGUGCAUCUGCCAGAGCUCCCGCUCUCCCUUCUCCCCCUUCCCUCUCUUCCCUAACCCCCCCCUCCUUGCAGCAGCCCUCGUUCUUUGCACGAGAUGCAGGGCUGGGCAGCCGGGGGAAGUGGCACGGUGCUGCUGCUCUGGGGGACGGAGCCGCGGCUGGGCCCUCGCCCUCCCCGAUGCACCGGGACCCCGCAGCUCCUCAGGGCCCCGGCCAGCCAUGCCCGCCGAGCGCCAAAAGCCGGGUAGCUGCAGCACAGGUAAGAGCCAGGAGGGUGAUGGAAGGCCCCACGGUCCUUCCCUUGGCUGCAUCCCUGGGGGAGGACGGAUCCUGCCUUGCUCCUGCCCCACUUUCCCGCCGGGCAAAGUGGGAGGGGAAGGCUGCUGCUCGGAUGUCACCCCUAUUAAUGCUUCUCCCCGUGCAUUAAUCUUCCCGUGGCAUCUUGUGAAUGGCCAAAGGGACAUAGGCACGGCUUGUAUUUAAUUAGCAGGCGGGGAAAGUGCAGCGUUUCUCAGGCUCAGCCCAGCGCUGGCUGGGGAGGAGCGGGGCUGGCUCUGGGGUGAGCUCCGUGCAAUGGGAUUAGCGCUGGGCCUUUGAUGCUGGGAGAAAACAUCAGCCCUUGCUUGUGCCUGAUCCUCUGAGAUCUUCACCAUCUUGGCAUCUCCCCUCUCCCUUUUCCCUGCUUUGCUACUGUUGUGGUUUUAAAAUGGUGGAUUGUGCUUGAUUUGAAUAUUUGGGUAUCUGUGACAUUGUGGCUGAGCGCUGGGGCUGAGCUGGUUAAAAACGAGACUAAUUGGAGCGAAAAGAGAGCGUGUUGGAGGCGAGGGAGCUGCGCUGAGCCGAGGCUGGAGUGAAAACUUGCAGAUGGCAGAGGCACCUGCACCCUUUGGGGGAAGAACCAGC